CUCCUACGGGAGGCAGCAGUAGGGAAUUUUCGUCAAUGGGGGAAACCCUGAACGAGCAAUGCCGCGUGAGUGAAGAAGGUCUUCGGAUCGUAAAGCUCUGUUGUAAGUGAAGAACGGCUCAUAGAGGAAAUGCUAUGGGAGUGACGGUAGCUUACCAGAAAGCCACGGCUAACUACGUGCCAGCAGCCGCGGUAAUACGUAGGUGGCAAGCGUUAUCCGGAAUCAUUGGGCGUAAAGGGUGCGUAGGUGGCGUACUAAGUCUGUAGUAAAAGGCAAUGGCUCAACCAUUGUAAGCUAUGGAAACUGGUAUGCUGGAGUGCAGAAGAGGGCGAUGGAAUUCCAUGUGUAGCGGUAAAAUGCGUAGAUAUAUGGAGGAACACCAGUGGCGAAGGCGGUCGCCUGGUCUGUAACUGACACUGAGGCACGAAAGCGUGGGGAGCAAAUAGGAUUAGAUACCCUAGUAGUCCACGCCGUAAACGAUGAGAACUAAGUGUUGGAGGAAUUCAGUGCUGCAGUUAACGCAAUAAGUUCUCCGCCUGGGGAGUAUGCACGCAAGUGUGAAACUCAAAGGAAUUGACGGGGGCCCGCACAAGCGGUGGAGUAUGUGGUUUAAUUCGAAGCAACGCGAAGAACCUUACCAGGCCUUGACAUGGAAACAAAUACCCUAGAGAUAGGGGGAUAAUUAUGGAUCACACAGGUGGUGCAUGGUUGUCGUCAGCUCGUGUCGUGAGAUGUUGGGUUAAGUCCCGCAACGAGCGCAACCCUUGUCGCAUGUUACCAGCAUCAAGUUGGGGACUCAUGCGAGACUGCCGGUGACAAACCGGAGGAAGGUGGGGAUGACGUCAAAUCAUCAUGCCCCUUAUGGCCUGGGCUACACACGUACUACAAUGGCGGCCACAAAGAGCAGCGACACAGUGAUGUGAAGCGAAUCUCAUAAAGGUCGUCUCAGUUCGGAUUGAAGUCUGCAACUCGACUUCAUGAAGUCGGAAUCGCUAGUAAUCGCAGAUCAGCAUGCUGCGGUGAAUACGUUCUCGGGCCUUGUACACACCGC
rnacentral:rRNA from 1 species